ACCACAGAUAUGCUAGCCUGGUUGACACCAGACCCUUCCCCGUUGUAACUGAGAUUGGGUCUGGGGAAGGUUCAUUCACAGCACAUUUCCAAAGGGGCAUCACAAACAGACGCCGCUGAAAUGCCUCUGGGCGCAACUGGAUAGUCCUUUAACUAAUCAGGCCGACGAUCCAGGUGAUGUAGCAGCGACAGCAGCAUCAACGGGUUGCUGCGCUUUGGUGGCCAUCAUGUUGAAUGUAAACAAAAA